rnacentral:lncRNA from 1 species
GGGAGUUGGGUUUUGUCUGGAGGAAGCAGCUUCUAGGAACUGCCUUUAUAAUGAGUACCGUAUGGAGCCACAGAUACUGUUUCCUUAGUAAAUAUCAAAUACUGCAGUUCAUGUUGGAGCUACUACCUCAGAUUUCAUCUCGUACAGACAAGCUGUGUCACCUUGGGCAGAUGCAGUUCCUGUGAACUCCUGAAUGGGAUCCUGUGAUGUCACAAGAGAUCUUUCUUUCAGAUCAGGUGGCUACAUUUUAAGCCUCAGAAUGAACAGAAGUUCCCACCAAUACCAGCGUGUAGCGAAUUCUGCAUUCUGUACAUUUUCUCUGAACUUUAGAAAGAUUCUUACUUUUUGUAGACUUCAGAAGAAUUUGUCAGCAUAUCCUCUCAUAACAUUCUCCCUAUAAUACCAGAUUCUUACACGAGAAGGAGAAAUAUAACACUGUGAGGCUAAGCCAUAUGUGCCUUAAUCUUGACAUUCCAUGGCAAAGCAACUUGAUAAAAUCUGACUAGAAAUCACUGAAAUUUUUCUUAAAGACAUGAGAAUAUGUAUGAUUUGAAGAGAACAAAGAAUGGCCAUCAUAAAUAGGCUUUGUUGUUA